rnacentral:rRNA from 1 species
GUCUACGAUCACACCACCUUGAACACACCUGAUCUCCUUGGAUCUUGGAAGCUAAGCAGGGUUGGGCCUGGUUAGUACUUGGAUGGGAGAUCCAACACAAAGGGCAGGAAGAGCUGAAAUGGUAGAGC